rnacentral:rRNA from 1 species
GACGAACGCUGGCGGCGUGCUUAACACAUGCAAGUCGAACGGAAAGGCCCUGCUUUUGUGGGGUGCUCGAGUGGCGAACGGGUGAGUAACACGUGAGUAACCUGCCCUUGACUUUGGGAUAACUUCAGGAAACUGGGGCUAAUACCGGAUAGGAGCUCCUGCUGCAUGGUGUGGGUUGGAAAGUUUCGGCGGUUGGGGAUGGACUCGCGGCUUAUCAGCUUGUUGGUGGGGUAGUGGCUUACCAAGGCUUUGACGGGUAGCCGGCCUGAGAGGGUGACCGGCCACAUUGGGACUGAGAUACGGCCCAGACUCCUACGGGAGGCAGCAGUGGGGAAUAUUGCACAAUGGGCGGAAGCCUGAUGCAGCAACGCCGCGUGCGGGAUAACGGCCUUCGGGUUGUAAACCGCUUUCGCCUGUGACGAAGCGUGAGUGACGGUAAUGGGUAAAGAAGCACCGGCUAACUACGUG